rnacentral:lncRNA from 1 species
UUUGAUCCUUGAGUGGAAAAACAGAGGAGAGAAUCAGUUUUUAAUUGACUAAGUGCUCUAAGAGCUGGAAAAGGAGGCCUGUUGUGAUAUAUAAAAGGGAGGGAGUUUGGAGAGGAAAAAGGGAGUUUUUUUAGAACCUAAAGGAGUCUAUUUUGAACCAGUGAAGUGAGUUCAUUCUUGAUUUCAGUUCUACAUAGGAAACAAACAAAAAGCAAAAGAAACCCUAAAAUUCCAGAAAAAGGUACUGUUCCAUUGUUAAAUUCACAGUUAGUUUGAAAUUAAGGCCCAAUCGAAGCUACUCUAGGAUGAUUGUGUUAAGCUGUUGGUUUCAGAUUUGUCCCAGCUGAUUUCGAGUUGGUGUUUGGUUUAUUUCCAAUUGGUUUUGAGUUGAUCUAGAGAAGACGGGUUGAUCUGAUGGUAAGCAACCCCCACUUCUAACCGAAAGGUUGUGAGUUCGAGUCUCCCCAAGAACAAGGUGGGAAGUUCUUGGAGGGAAGGAUGCCGGGGAUCUAUUUGGAAACAGCCUCUCUACCCCAGGUAGAGAUAAGGUCUGCGUACAUACUAUCCUCCCCAGACUCCACUACGUGGGAUUAUACUGGGUUGUUGUAGUUGUUGGUUUUGAGUUGAUCUGUUUAGCUCUGUUGGUUUUUCUAAACAUUUCUGAAUCUGUGUGUUUCCCUGGGCUGUUCCUAUUGUCCUAUACUGCUGAAGUUGCAUUGCUGUUACUGAUCUGCUGCUGCUGAUUUACUCUUCUCCUUCACUGUAUUUCAUUUCCAGGGACAUAUUUCAAACUUACUUUGAUGUAGCCCUUGAACUGGAAAUGGAACAAAGUUUACUCACGAAUUGGCUUCCUAAUAUGUGCUCGUUGGGAUCAUGAUCUGUCAAAUAUCUAUAUAUAUGCUUAGUUUAUAUGUAUUUGUUUAGUUUAGCUUUAAUUAAUACCAACAUGGACAACGGACUGUGAAUUAAUAUUUUAUUGCUUUGUCUUAGUAGUAUUUGUGCAACUUAUUUAGUUUUUGUUGGUCAGUAUGUCGAGUAGUUUAAUUUGUGCUUAGAUGUGAAGGUUACAAUUUAAAGAAGAGUGCUGUAAAACUGUACUUCUGCCCAAAUUCCUUUUUCUGUUUUGUUUAUGAAUGAGCUGUGAAACCAGUACAGAUGUUUGUCUUCAUCCAUAAGAAGUAACCAACCUGCUUUUAUUACAUCACUCUUUUUUUAUGCAACACUUGCUCUCUUUCUUUUGAGAAUAAAGCUGUAUGUUGGCUUUCCUCACCAGUGACAUGUUUCGUUAAUUAGUGAAUCUUUGAUUGCUCUGUUUUGAACGUUGGAGUUGUUAUUUCGUGAAGAUGGAAUGUCGUUAAUAAUUGAAUGGGUAGAGAUUCUGUUGGAUUUUCCUACUGUACAUAACUUGAGCACUAAUUUCUGCAAGUUCAACGUUCUAAUUCCCAUUUGUUCUUUUAAUUUAGUCCAUUUCUUUUGUAUUUGGUAUGGGCUAUAUAACUGUGCAGUUUUUGUUUGUUUGCAUUCAGG